rnacentral:rRNA from 1 species
AUUGAACGCUGGCGGCAGGCCUAACACAUGCAAGUCGAACGAGUGGCGGACGGGUGAGUAAUGUCUGGGAAACUGCCUGAUGGAGGGGGAUAACUACUGGAAACGGUAGCUAAUACCGCAUACCAUCAGAUGUGCCCAGAUGGGAUUAGCUGGGUGGUGGGGUAACGGCUCACCAAGGCGACGCUCCCUAGCUGGUCUGAGAGGAUGACCAUCCACACUUGGACUGGAACCAGGGCCCGGACCCAUCGGGAGGCAGGAGUGGGGAAAAUUGCACAAUGGGCGCAAGCCUGAUGCAGCCAUUGCGCGUGGAUUAAGAAGGCCUUCGGGUUGUAAAGUACUUUCAGCGGGGAGGCGUUACCCGCAGAAGAAGCACCGGCUUACUCCGGGCCAGCCGCCGCGGUAAUAC